CCUACGGGAGGCAGCAGUGGGGAAUAUUUCACAAUGGGGGCAACCCUGAUGCAGCGACGCCGCGUGAGUGAAGAAGUAUUUCGGUAUGUAAAGCACUAUCAGCAGGGAAGAAAAUGACGGUACCUGUUUAUGUAGCCCUGGCUCACUACGUGCCAGCAGACGCGGUAAUACGUAGGGUGCAAGCGUUAUCCGGAUUUACUGGGUGUAAAGGGAGCUUAGUCGGCAGCACAAGUCUGGCGUGAAAUGCCGGGGCUUAACCCCGGAACUGCUUUGGAAACUGUGCAGCUAGAGUGCAGGAGAGGUAAGUGGAAUUCGUAGUGUAGCGGUGAAAUGCGUAGAGAUUAGGAGGAACACCAGUGGCGAAGGCGGCUUACUGGACUGUAACUGACGUUGAGGCGCGAAAGCGUGGGGAGCAAACAGGAUUAGAUACCCGGGUAGUC
rnacentral:rRNA from 1 species